CCUGAACGCUGGCGGCGUGGCUAAGACAUGCAAGUCGUACGGACCCGCAAGGGUCAGUGGCGAACGGGUGAGUAAUGAAUCGCUAAUGUGCCCCGGACUCAGGGAUAGCUAUCCGAAAGGGUAGGUAAUACCUGAUGACAUAACCUUGUCGCAUGGCAGGGUUCUCAAAGGUCCGCCGGUCUGGGAGCAGGCGAUUUCGUAUCAGCUAGUUGGUGAGGUAACGGCUCACCAAGGCGACGACGCGUAGCCGGACUGAGAGGUUGGCCGGCCACAUUGGGACUGAGACACUGCCCAGACUCCUACGGGGGGCGUNCAGUAACGAAUCUUCCGCAAUGCACGAAAGUGUGACGGAG
rnacentral:rRNA from 1 species